AUGACAUAAGCUCCUAAUUCAAAUUCAUAAUAAUGGAAUUGGAUGGUGACAGGGAGUCAUGGGAAUCUGCGAAAGCAGCCAAAAAAUGGCCAACUGAUUGAG